ACCGCUAUUGCGUGCGGAGGGACUUUCCGUCAAUGAGAAAUUAUUUUGCGUAGAGUGGACGAUGGGAAACCAUGCUGAAAUGGGACGGAAUAGUGGCAUUUUGGGGGAUUAGAGUUCCAGGAAUUCUAUGUGUUUUUCACACUGCAGAAUGUACAGUCACCACUCCAUGUACAUGAGACAUCAAUGAACAUUUAGGCUUGACUGACCCUGGGUUUCUUUGAAUGACAUGGCAGCACAGAGCGAUAUAAUCACCGAGGCGUGCAAUGGGGC